UUUUUGGACAAAUAAAGGAUAAAACUUCUACUUUGGCAGAGGCUGAGAUGGAGAAAGUGAACGAGUUCACCAAACGGCAGAUACGGAAAGCACAAAAGAAACCUGGACCAUGGAAAAGUAUGUGCAUCGUAUAAUGCAAGGGCAAGGGAGAGGUAAUGUGUAUUCGUCCAUUUUCAUACUGCUAUGAAGAAAUACCCAAGACUGGGUAAUUUAUAAAGAAAAAGAGGUUUAAUGGACUCACAUGGCUGGGAGGCCUUACAAUCACGGCAGAAGGUGAAGGAGGAGGAAAGGCAUAUCUUACAUGGUGGCAGGAGAGAGCAUGCGCAGGGG
rnacentral:lncRNA from 10 species